UGUAUGUAUGCGUGUGCAUAGGAGCGAGAGCGAGAGAAUCUCUUGUUUUUUUUUUGUUUUUUAUCGUAAAUAUAAUACUCAACCCUUUUGUCAAUUCUUGCAGUAAUUCGCAAAGAACGUCUCGUGAGAGUUACAUAAGUCAUACUUCCAUUUAUAGAGAGAGAAAGAGAGAGAGAAUUAGCGGAUUAUACUUUUAGAAACGUAUUUGACGGAUAUCCGAUAUUGUUUUGCAACCGACUCCGAGAUUUAAUGGAGAAAAAUAAGCGCGACAGAUCCGUGACUUCGUUUAACUUUACUUACACAGUCGAAAACAAUCCGCGAGAUUCAUCAACAUAUCCUAAAUGAUAUAUAAGCGAGCGAGAAUGAGAGGAACGAAUGAAUGAGCGAGCGAUAGAGAAAGAAUAAACGUUCGGAGCAUAUUUUGACGAUAUACUAAUGUGUUAAUUAAUCAUUAUACCGAGAUGUAACAUAUACAGACCUUACACAUACACACACACACACACGUAUAUAAUACAUAUAGAUAUACGUUUUUUUUUUACUAUGUAGCGUGCUUGAACAUUUUUAACGUGUCAAACUUAUUUUUAUUAUUUCUAUACGUUUCUUAUCGACAAUGAGAGUUUUUGAACAUCUUAAGAAAGAGAGAGAGAAAGAGAGAGACAAUGUUCACACUGUAAUAUGAAAAUUAGAAUUAGGUUUAAGAAAAUUUACGCGGCAUGCGUCUCACAGAUUCUUAUUGCUGGCAGCUGGCACCAAUUACGAGGAUUUUAAUUUUGUUUGCAAAAACGUAAGAAAGUGCUUUUUAAAGUCGCGACAAACAGAUCGGCGGCGCUUUGUGUUUGCGCGACUGGCAUCGUCUUCAAGAUCUGUUGCAAAUGUAAAAGUACACGCCAAAUUGCAAAGCGUUUUGUUGAAUUACUUACCAGUUGAUUCCGAACUUGGUUAGUUAAAACUUUGCAAAAACUUUUUAGCAUAUCCGCGGUUGGAAGUAAAGUCGGAAUAUUUCGAGCGAGAAAACAGGAGUGUGUGUAUAGAACAUGUAUAUCUGUGUGUGUUCGCGCACACAUCCCAUCGAUUUUUUUUUUUUUACCGAGUUGUUUUGAACCAAUAGAUUUGUUUUAGAGAUAAAAAUGUGUACAUAUAUAUAUAUAUAUAUUUCUUUUGAAGCUUCGCGAGUAAUUUGCGCAUCGCCGUUUUGAAAAAGAAGAAAAAAAGGAACAAAAAAACACGCACAACUGUACAUACACACACACACACGCGCGCGCGCGUACGUAAUAUGUGCCACUGACAUUCCUCAUUGAUUACUGGAAGCGCGGCAAAUUGACUCGAUCCACACACACACACACAGAUACACACACACACAAAGUGUGCUAAAUGAAAAAUCCAGCGAAGCCUUUUUCCUAUACAAAGAGCCACGUCAUUUAAUAUAUAUACAAUAUACAUAUAUAUAUAUAUAUAUAUAUAUACAUAAUAUAUCAUUACAUGUAAAACUGAUAAUAUAAUCUUAUUAUUGCGUUGUGACUGGUUACAACAGUUGUCGUUGCUUAUGUUUGAGACUGGCAUUGAGGCUGAAAAUUGGAUGUGUUCUGGCCGCGAAAAAAAAAGGAAAACAAAAUUUCCGGGGAUGCGAGAGAAAGAGAGAUAAUUGAAUGAGAAAACCGGUGGUGCUUAACGACGUGUGUAUGCGAGACGCGCGCGUGUGUGUGUGCGAGCGGAGAGAGAGUUCGUUCCUGUUAUAUUGUGUUAGCCAAUAAGUAAUGUAGGAUUUUUUUUUCAUAGAGCGUCGUUUCUACUGUUUUCGAAACACAAGACUAUUCACAACUUAUAAAAACGAGAGUAUAAUUUGAAAGCUGACAUUUAAACGUGUAAUCAAAAAUAAGUUUAUUAUAUUUUUUUUAUUUAUUUAUUGAGCGCUUAUUUUGGCUUAAACAUGGAUAACAAAGAGAUGUACUUUCGUGCAAUUAUCGUCACUCCCUACGUAUAAUUACAUAAGUGUCACAUAUGGGAUUUUCAGUUUAUUGCAUAAUGACACUUAGAAAGUCAUGUUCUUUAUGGUCACCAAAUAUUAAAAAAAAAUAUUCAUAAAUAAGGUACAAAUUUGAAACCGAAAGAUCCCUAACUAUAGGGAAACAUAUGAAGCUUUAUACUUUUAAACUGCUCUCCUCUAAAAUUUGCGUUUUGGAGUUACGGGAUUAUACGUAGGGAGUGACGAUAUGCUCUUUUAUUUUUGCUAAGAUAAAAAUGCAGUACAAACAAAAACAAAUUCUGAUGUUGGUACUGUGAAUACAAAGAAAGGUACAAAGGUGGUAAAGAGUAUUGCUUUAUGAGCUUCUGCUUAAUCAGACCAUGAACUUAGAUAAGUCUGAUAUUUGAUGCUUUCGCGGUUUGUUGUAUUAAUAUUCAAAGAUGUUUUUCGGGUUUGAACCGCGUUGUAUUGUCAUUUUUAUACCGGUAUAAAAAUGACACUAACGCGAUUCAAACUCGAGAAACAUCUUCGAAUGUAAACUCUGAUAAGUAUUGCUCACAAUUAGAUUAAACGAAAACAUUAAGAAAAAACGAUCGGAACUUGCCUGUAAAAAAGGAGUAAUUUUCCAUCAAGACAUGCGAGGUCUCACGUAAUCAAUACAGACUCGGCAAAAAUUUAAGAGAACUGAAUUAGGAAGUUAUUAAUAUAUAUCACAUACACACAUCCACUUUAUUCACCUGACUUAGCAUCAUCUGAUUUUCAUUUAUUUCGUUCUCGGCAAAAUUCGCUGAGUGAAAAAAAUUUUGAUUCUUUAGAACUCUGCGAAAUGUGUAUGUUUCAACAUUUCUUGCUGAAAACAAUUUCGAAAGAAUGGUAUCAUGAAGUUACCUGUAAAAUGGUAUAAUUGCACGAAAAAAUACAUUUCUUUGUUACCCACGUUUAAACCAAAAUAAGUACUCAAGAAAAAGUCAUCGAUCAAAAUGGUUAAUACGUUAAUGAAUAGUUUUCUGUAUUAAAAAAUAAUUAAUUUUGUUUUUUAUUGCUGAAAUAUUAGGAAUAUCGAAAUCCAGUGUUAAUAAUAACUAUCUGCGUCAACUUGAUUAAUUUCCAGAUAUGACGUUUGAGUUCCACGAUUUAAGUGAACAAAAUUUAAUCGAUCGAAUUUCGGAUUGUGAUUUAUUACUUAUUGGCCAAUCCAAUAAUUACUUCUCAAAACAUAAGCAACGAUGUAUUGAGUCUUGUUUGUUAUAAAGUACCUGGUAGUUACAAUCGAAUUAAUAGAAUUGAGGAAUUUAUUGACAUCUUUCCACACAUACACAUACAUACAACACGAUGAGGUAAACACACACACACACAUACACAGCACACGUUUGAUCGAUUUGUAUUUUGCGACAUCAUCUCGGCGCGGUUUUUAUUUACGGAUUUUAUUACAUGUAAUUUGUUUUUAUAUAAGGUUUAAGUAAGAAAAACAGAAACUCUAAUCAUCACAGGUUUAAGAUACUAAUCGUUGCGCAAACAUGUAUGUUUCACGCGUGGCUCUAUAAUUUAACGCAAUUUACGUAUUAUUUAUUGUUACCAAAUAAUAAUACGCGUUUGAGUUUUUUUUUUUAUUUUUUAAUUUUCUCGAAAACCAAAAAAAGAGCAAUCGGCUUAAUGUAUGUAAGCGAGGUCGUUUUUCUUUUUCUUUUCAUUUUUCGAAGCAAUUUCUUUGUCAGAGUAGGAGUAAUAAUGUACAUGUAUAUACGCGAUAUAUAAGUAUAUGUAAGGAUAAUGUAGGAUAUAAAUUAUUCAUAUUUAUAUCAGCAACGUAUACGUUGCAAUCUAUCGAAAGGAGCAAUGAAAUAAGUGUUUUUAUUCCAUAAAAGAAAAAGCGACAAUUUCAAUAUAAAUCUAUUAAAACAAUUAAACACCGAGAGAGAGAGAGAUUUUGUUGCCCCCUGUUUCUAACGCAAUUACAAUUGUUGCAAUUGAUUAAUUUUGUACACACCAUGCAAUUUAUAUAUUUAUGUACUUUUCAGAUAUAAAUUAAUUUUAACAAGUUAAUUUUACACCCCAGACAGCACGUGACCUCCAAGAGACGACUUCGAAACGUCUCAUCGUCUCUUGGAAAUCUUCAAGAUGUUCUCAGAUGUCCUCUCCGUGCGCUGUCUGGGAUGCAUUUUGCGCGCGCAAUUGUCACAAAGUGAUGAUUAAAUAUCGCGCGUGUCGAUUAAAAUCUUCAAAAAAAAAAAAAAAAAAAAAA